GACGUAGGAUGCAAGCGUUGUCCGGAUUUAUUGGGCGUAAAGAGUUCGUAGGUGGUUUGUUAAGUCUGAUGUUAAAGACUGGGGCUCAACCUCGGGACUGCAUUGGAUACUGGCAGACUUGAGUGCGGUAGAGGCAAGUGGAAUUCCAGGUGUAGCGGUGAAAUGCGUAGAUAUCUGGAAGAACACCCGUGGCGAAGGCGGUUCUCUGGGACGGUACUGACGCUGAGACGCGAAAGCGUGGGGAGCGAACAGG
rnacentral:rRNA from 1 species